AUGCAUAGGUCCCCUGUAUGA
rnacentral:siRNA from 1 species